GGGGGUUGGAAAGAUUUAUCGGUGAAGGAUGGACUCGCGGCCUAUUCAGUUUGUUGGUGAGGUAAUGGCUCACCAAGACGAUGACGGGUAGCCGGCCUGAGAGGGCGACCGGCCACACUGGGACUGAGACACGGCCCAGACUCCUACGGGAGGCAGCAGUGGGGAAUAUUGCACAAUGGGCGAAAGCCUGAUGCAGCGACGCCGCGUGGGGGAUGACGGCCUUCGGGUUGUAAACCUCUUUCAGUAGGGAAGAAGCGAAAGUGACGGUACCUGCAGAAGAAGCGCCGGCUAACUACGUGCCAGCAGCCGCGGUAAUACGUAGGGCGCAAGCGUUGUCCGGAAUUAUUGGGCGUAAAGAGCUCGUAGGUGGCUUGUCGCGUCUGCCGUGAAAACCCGAGGCUCAACCUCGGGCGUGCGGUGGGUACGGGCAGGCUAGAGUGUGGUAGGGGAGACUGGAACUCCUGGUGUAGCGGUGAAAUGCGCAGAUAUCAGGAAGAACACCGAUGGCGAAGGCAGGUCUCUGGGCCAUUACUGACACUGAGGAGCGAAAGCAUGGGUAGCGAACAGGAUUAGAUACCCUGGUAGUCCAUGCCGUAAACGUUGGGCACUAGAUGUGGGGGACAUUCCACGUUUUCCGCGUCGUAGCUAACGCAUUAAGUGCCCCGCCUGGGGAGUACGGCCGCAAGGCUAAAACUCAAAGGAAUUGACGGGGGCCCGCACAAGCGACGGAGCAUGCUGAUUAAUUCGAUGCAACGCGAAGAACCUUACCAAGGCUUGACAUGCACCGGACGGCCGCAGAGAUGUGGCUUUCUUCGGACUGGUGCACAGGUGGUGCAUGGUUGUCGUCAGCUCGUGUCGUGAGAUGUUGGGUUAAGUCCCGCAACGAGCGCAACCCUUGUUCUAUGUUGCCAGCACGUCAUGGUGGGGACUCAUAGGAGACUGCCGGGGUCAACUCGGAGGAAGGUGGGGACGACGUCAAAUCAUCAUGCCCCUUAUGUCUUGGGCUUCAAGCAUGCUACAAUGGUCGGUACAAUGGGUUGCGAAACUGUGAGGUGGAGCGAAUCCCAAAAAGCCGGCCUCAGUUCGGAUUGGGGUCUGCAACUCGACCCCAUGAAGUCGGAGUCGCUAGUAAU
rnacentral:rRNA from 1 species